rnacentral:rRNA from 1 species
CCCUUAGAUGUUCUGGGCCGCACGCGCGCUACACUGAUGCAUUCAACGAGUGUACCUUGGCCGAGAGGCCUGGGCAAUCUUUUGAACGUGCAUCGUGAUAGGGAUAGAUUAUUGCAAUUAUUAAUCUCGAACGAGGAAUUCCUGGUAAACGCAGUUCAUCAAACUGCAUUGAUUACGUCCCUGCCCUUUGUACACACCGCCCGUCGCACCUACCGAUUGGAGGGUCCGGUGAAGCCUCGGGAUUGUGGCGGUUGCCUUUAUUGGUGGCCGCCGCGAGAACUUGUCUAAACCUUAUCAUCUAGAGGAAGGUGAAGUAGCAACA